rnacentral:rRNA from 1 species
GACGAACCGUGCGAACGUUGUUCGGAUUCACUGGGCUUAAAGGGUGUGUAGGCGGUCUGCCAAGUCAGGGGUGAAAAUCCUCCAGCUCAACUGGAGAACUGCCUCGGAUACUGGGUGCCUCGAGGGUGGUAGGGGUAUGCGGAACUAUCGGUGGAGCGGUGAAAUGCGUUGAUAUCGAUAGGAACUCCGGUGGCGAAGGCGGCAUCCUGGACCGACACUGACGCUGAUGAGCGAAAGCCAGGGGAGCAAACGGG